rnacentral:rRNA from 1 species
UUGACCUCGGAUCAGGUAGGAAUACCCGCUGAACUUAAGCAUAUCAAUAAGCGGAGGAAGAA